AUGGCAAUGGACAGGGUGCCCCAGCCAGCGCCAGUCCCCCAUGGCAAUGGACAGGGUGCCCCAGCCAGCGCCAGCCCCCCAUGGCAAUGGACAGGGUGCCCCAGCCAGCGCCAGCCCCCCAUGGCAAUGGACAGGGCGCCCCAGCCAGCACCAGACCCUCAUGGCAAUGGACAGGGUGCCCCGGCCAGCGCCAGCCCCCCAUGGCAAUGGACAGGGCACCCCAGCCAGCACCAGCCCCCCACAGUGAUGGGCAUAGAGUCUCAGCCAGUGCCAGCCCCCCAUGGCAAUGGACAGGGCACCCCAGCCAGUGCCAGCCCCCCAUGGCAAUGGACAGGGUGCCCCAGCCAGCACCAGCCCCCCAUGGCAAUGGACAGGGUGCCCCAGCCAGCACCAGUCCCCCAUGGCAAUGGACAGGGUGCUCCAGCCAGCGCCAGUCCCCCAUGGCAAUGGACAGGGCGCCCCAGCCAGCGCCAGCCCCCCAUGACAAUGCACAGGGUGCCCCAGCCAGCACCACCCCCUCGUGGCAAUGGACAGGGUGCCCCAACCAGCGCCAGCCCCUGUGGCGAUGGACAGGGUGCCCCAGCCAGCGUUCUCAGAGAGCCCAGGGUCCCAGGGACUGAGCCACUACUGCCCUGGGCACAGGCAGGGGAGUCUUGGCGUGGGGUAGUGUGGCUCAGCCACAUCAGGCGUCACGAUGAGCAUGGGGAGGCCGAGGGGGCGGCGGGCUGGGACCAGAACUCAAUUCAACACAGUCUCACUCCAGAGCGCAUGGGCUCCAGCACCCCAGGGAAGGAGGUGGGAGAGCCGACGGGGAUCUGCCUGGCACGCGGGUUUCACCUCGGGGACCACGGGCCAUGCUGGCGCUCUUGUCUGUCCUGUGAGACAGCCAAGGGUAUGUGUCUGUCCUGUCUCCAGACACUGCCUCUGCCAUCAGGCCUGGGACACAGCUCUACCCCAUCUGUCCCCGACAGGGGAAAUCCAGCCACCCUCUUCCUGCCAGCCCUGCUGAGGACAGCCUGGGUGCCCCCAGGCCUCCUGGGAACCCGGCUGCAUCUUCGGUGGGGAGCUGGGCAGGGAGGCCCCUGGGCUGGGCCACAGGAUCACUGCCUGCCGCCGCCUCCCCAUGGCCUGGCGACCUUGGCCCUGGGAAACCUCAUGGCGUUUUUGGUGAAGAGUUUUGGGGAGAGAGAGAGAGACGGGAAGACUUGCCGGGAUCCAAGUUACUGUUUCGGCUACAGGAACGCGGCCGGGCAUGGCCAGGCUGUGGGCGGCUCCAGACAGUGCAGGCAGCAGGAACCCGGGCCACAGCUCUGCUAG
rnacentral:lncRNA from 1 species